GAUGAACGCUGGCGGCGUGCCUAAUACAUGCAAGUCGAGCGAACAGACGAGGAGCAUGCUCCUCUGAUGUUAGCGGCGGACGGGAGAGUAACACGUGGUUAACCUACCUAUAAGAAUGGGAUACCUUUGGGAAACCGGAGCUAAUACCGGAUAACAUGUUGACUCGCAAGGUUCAACCGUGAAAGUAGGUCGUGCUGUCACUUAUAGAUGGACACGCGCCGCAUUACCUAGUUGGCAAGGUAACUGCUUACCAAGGCAACGAUGGGUAUACGACCCGAAGGGGAGGUCGGCCACCCUGGCACUGAGACAGAUCCCAGACUCCGGCACGAGGCAACAGUAGGGAAUCUUCCGCAAUGGACGAGAGCCUGACGGUGCAACACCGCGUGAAUGAAGAAGGACUUCUGAUCGUUAAACUCUGUUGUUAGGAAAGAACAAAUGCGUAAGUAACUAUGCACGUCUUGACGGUACCUGAUCAGAAAGCCACGGCUAACUACGUG
rnacentral:rRNA from 1 species